CAAACAAAGAAGCGGUUCAGUCCGGCAGGCCUCCAGGCAGCGACCGCGCUGGCCAAUGGGACGCGGGAAAGGUGGGAUUUGGGGGCGCGGGUGUGCUCUCUCGGUGUGAACCCGGUCUGGGCCCUUCAGUGGGUGCAGCCCGGGCCCUGGUCAUGUCCGCGCUCGGCACGAAGCGGCAAUUCUGGUGAGCACCUGACAGGACAGACAUGACUGGGAGCGAAUGGCCACCUGAACUCCACACAACGACUCGGGGGAGGAGAGGCCAGCCACCCAGCCGAGACGUUUCCCCGGUCCCCUCCUACUGCUCAGAGCCCACCUGCCCCAGGCCCCAGGACGUGUUCCGUCGCGUGGCGAGUGUGUGCCAGGAAGAUGAGGGCGAGGAAGAGGAGGUCCUGAGCUUGAAGAGCCUUCCCUGUGCCAGGAAACCCACGACCAACCGCCACAAGGCCAGAAAGCCUCAGCGGUACCACAGCAGACAGAUGACGACUCUCGAGAGCUCCGCCCUGAAACUCCCGCCCAUCACAGAACCAAAGGAAGGCCACAGGUGCGGCCUGAUGGUGAGAGGCUCUGGUUGUGUGAAGGCCUGCAGGCUUCCUCCCAUGGCAAGCGGCAGGAGCAAGUCGACGCUCCCCGAACGACCACCAUGUCGGGCAGGCCGGAGACCUGACAAAGAAGCCCCAGCUUCUGCUCCAUCUAACAUUGUAGCCAGCCCGACCCAGACUGACCCCUCCAGUGAAACCAACCAUGCCUCUCUGGCGUGUGGCAGGAAAGCAGACCUCCACGCCCUGACCUCCAACAUGGCCCUGGUGUCAGCCAGCGCCGGCCACAGCCACCUGCUACAGAGGGUGUACAUCAUCAUACCCACACACCCUCCACAAAGAACAGCAGACAAAGCUGUCCCACGUGGGCCAGUGAGGCGCAGAUGGCCCACGUUUCGCAGGGGAGCGCUGGAGUGUGUGUGGGAGGAGGGUUGCGUGCCCCCUUCGCCUCUGCCCAAUCUGAUGGAGCCCAUCUCCGGGUUCAGGGAACAGUUGCAACGGCAGCUCCUGUGCCCCACUCUCCCUUACCGCGGUGACCCCAAAGAUGCCUCUCACCCAGAUGCUGUCCCGGCCGCGCACAAGAGCUCCGUCACCAUCUGACUGCAGGGAUGGGGUAGAGCGGCCCAAAAUAACCAUGACCUGCCGCUCUCUUUCAGCCAGACAUCCACGCAUGCCGCCUGAUGACCUGCUGAAGCCGACUGGCGCGUACAGAUCAAUACUAGAGCUGACCUGGACAACCUGUCCACAUCUGGACAGAGCGGGGGGUUAUUGUAGACAAAGUUGGCCCUAUAGGAGAAUCCUUUCUUCAGUUUGACUAACUGCAGAGCACCGCAACUGAACUCUCUCUGAUUGUGUUAGCCUGCCCCCUGUUGGUAAUUCUUAAUAGGGCCCAUACAGCUUCCUGAGGCGUAGCACAUGCAGAGCCACCUUUCAAUAUCCGGAACUGCACCAAUAAUUAGACGAGUCGGUAUUCCACACGUACAUCACAUGUACAUACCGACGAUUUCAUUGUUGUUGUACUUAAUAUUCUGUUUAGGCUGUAAACAGAUCACCAUUUUUUUUUUUUUUUUUACACUGUUCCUGUGUGUAAAAGACAACGGCUCAACGGCCAGCUGCUUACUGGGUGUUCUUUCUUCUGAGAAAAUAAAAAGUCUUGAAUGGGAGC
ensembl:lncRNA uncharacterized LOC114764987